rnacentral:rRNA from 1 species
UACGAAGGGGGGCUAGCGUUGCUCGGAUUGACUGGGCGUAAAGGGCGCGUAGGCGGUUCGUACAGUCAGACGUGAAAUUCCUGGGCUCAACCUGGGGGCUGCGUUUGAUACGUGCGGACUUGAGUGCGGAAGAGGGUCGUGGAAUUCCCAGUGUAGAGGUGAAAAUUCGUAGAUAUUGGGAAGAACACCGGUGGCGAAGGCGGCAACCUGGUCCGAUACUGACGCUGAGGCGCGAAAGCGUGGGGAGCAAACAGG